GUGCAAUGGCAUAAGCCAGCUUGACUGCGAGCGUGACGGCGCGAGCAGGUGCGAAAGCAGGUCAUAGUGAUCCGGUGGUUCUGAAUGGAAGGGCCAUCGCUCAACGGAUAAAAGGUACUCCGGGGAUAACAGGCUGAUACCGCCCAAGAGUUCAUAUCGACGGCGGUGUUUGGCACCUCGAUGUCGGCUCAUCACAUCCUGGGGCUGAAGUAGGUCCCAAGGGUAUGGCUGUUCGCCAUUUAAAGUGGUACGCGAGCUGGGUUUAGAACGUCGUGAGACAGUUCGGUCCCUAUCUGCCGUGGGCGCUGGAGAACUGAGGGGGGCUGCUCCUAGUACGAGAGGACCGGAGUGGACGCAUCACUGGUGUUCGGGUUGUCAUGCCAAUGGCACUGCCCGGUAGCUAAAUGCGGAAGAGAUAAGUGCUGAAAGCAUCUAAGCACGAAACUUGCCCCGAGAUGAGUUCUCCCUGACCCUUUAAGGGUCCUGAAGGAACGUUGAAGACGACGACGUUGAUAGGCCGGGUGUGUAAGCGCAGCGAUGCGUUGAGCUAACCGGUACUAAUGAACCGUGAGGCUUAACCUUACAACGCCGAAG
rnacentral:rRNA from 3 species